GCACAACUAUCUUAGUUGGUAGAGCAUGAGACUAUUAAUCUCAGGGUCAUGGGUUUGAGUCCCAUGUUGGGUU